rnacentral:lncRNA from 1 species
CGCCAGUGUCUCACUUAGCACCCCGCGCCCGGAGGAGACAUGAAAGACAGCGGCCUUCCUCUUGCUGAUGACCGGGCUUCUGUUUGAUCCUGUUUACAAAGCUUUCGAAGAUCGAGAAUAACCCAACUCCUCUGCGCUGGCAGUUGGAAGCAGAAGAAAAUAAAGAGUUGAGAAUUGAAGCUGGGAGACUUGGCAGCUAAUUCAGAGGCAGCAAUUGUGUGAGCAGCCCCUUGGCAAGAGGACCAAGUGUAGCUUGUGACAGAAUUGAAUGGAGAUGAUCCCAAGCUGAAAGCCAGAACAGGAUCUUCUUUUGAGUUCACCGAGUGACCUGCAAUUUCAUUCCAGC